AUUGAACGCUGGCGGCAUGCCUUACACAUGCAAGUCGAACGGUAACAGGUCUUCGGAUGCUGACGAGUGGCGAACGGGUGAGUAAUACAUCGGAACGUGCCCGAUCGUGGGGGAUAACGGAGCGAAAGCUUUGCUAAUACCGCAUACGAUCUACGGAUGAAAGCAGGGGACCGCAAGGCCUUGCGCGGACGGAGCGGCCGAUGGCAGAUUAGGUAGUUGGUGGGAUAAAAGCUUACCAAGCCGACGAUCUGUAGCUGGUCUGAGAGGACGACCAGCCACACUGGGACUGAGACACGGCCCAGACUCCUACGGGAGGAAGCAGUGGGGAAUUUUGGACAAUGGGCGAAAGCCUGAUCCAGACAUGCCGCGUGCAGGAUGAAGGCCUUCGGGUUGUAAACUGCUUUUGUACGGAACGAAAAGACUCUUUCUAAUAAAGAGGGUCCAUGACGGUACCGUAAGAAUAAGCACCGGCUAACUACGUG
rnacentral:rRNA from 1 species